rnacentral:rRNA from 1 species
CCUACGGGCGGCAGCAGUGAGGAAUAUUGGUCAAUGGGCGUAAGCCUGAACCAGCCAAGUCGCGUGAGGGAUGAAGGUUCUAUGGAUCGUAAACCUCUUUUAUAAGGGAAUAAAGUGUGGGACGUGUCCUGUUUUGUAUGUACCUUAUGAAUAAGGAUCGGCUAACUCCGUGCCAGCAGCCGCGGUAUACGGAGGAUCCGAGCGUUUUCCGGAUUUUUUGGGUUUUAAGGGUGCGUAGGCUGGCAUUUAAUGCAGCGGUGAAAGUCUGUGGCUCAACCAUCGAAUUGCCGUUGAAACUGGGAGGCUUGAGUAUGUUUGAGGCAGGAGGAAUGCGUGGUGUAGCGGUGAAAUGCUUAGAUAUCACGCAGAACCCCGAUUGCGAAGGCAGCCUGCCAAGCCAUGACUGACGCUGAUGCACGAAAGCGUGGGGAUCAAACAGGAUUAGAUACCCUUGUAGUC